rnacentral:rRNA from 1 species
AUGGGUUGUGUGCGCAGUGCACUUGCCCGGUCAGGAGGAUGUGUGUGCGUAAUGAGAAGUAAACGUCGCAGACAGGUUGGCGCUGUUGCGCGUCCUGCCUGUGUGGCGGCUGUGCAUGCACUGCUCAAGCUGGGAGCUGAUGUGGAGGCUGGAGCUGCUACGGGGGAUGUUGGCUGCGUGCUGCUGAAGCUGGGAGGAGACGGGGAGGUCCCGGACCCGACCCCUCUGCGCAGCGGCGCUAAUAUGGUUGUGCUUGAUGGGCAGGCAGAUGUACCGGCGCCUGGCAGCGAGGGCUGCUUCGUGCCGCCUGCUCGGGCUUGA